UGCCAGGGGGGGCCUAGUGUCUGCUGGGUUUUGGUUUUCACUUUCAAUUAAGACAAACAGGUGAGGGGACAAACCUAGACAAACAGGUGAGGGGAGUUCCUUACUAAUCAGUGACCUUAAUUAAUCAAUCAAGUACAAGGGAGGAGCGAAAUCCAGCAGACACUCGGCCCUCCGUGGAAUGAGUUUGACACAUUCUUAACGCCAUGGAAAACCAUAAAACAGCCCUUUACUAAUCGUGAUUUGUCAAUAUUCUAGGACCUGAAUGCUUGAUGCUUUGAAUAAGUAUGAAAGGAAACUAGUUAAACCUUUCACCAUUGAGGAUAUGCUUCUCAUCUUCUCAUCAAGUCUUCAGCAUUGACUCCGGUGGAGUGGUCUGCAUGUCAUUCCAGUAACGCUGUGGUGAAAUCAAACGGAGAGAACAUUGUCAGCUUAGUGGAGGGGAGGGCCAGUCUGCUGCUUUCUCCCUCUGGAGAAGAGUUCUUCGUAGGCUUCACCUGCACGUUUAGUCACAACGCCACAGGCCUCGGAGCCAAGAGCCAGUCACUGAACACACAACAAGACAACCAAACCUGUAGGUCAAAGACUCCUUCUCAAAGAAGUAACACGUGCUGAGCAGCCCAAGGAUCCUGAACUUCUACAACCAGCCAAGGCACUCUGAAGCUCCCUGCUACACCGAGCUGUUUGAACAAGUUUCAGGCCUUGGAGAAGAUCAAACACUUCAACUGUAUCCUUAGUGUCACUAUUCUGAGUGGUAGUCAUGGAUGAUGAUCCUGGCUCUGUCCAGUUCUAUUGGAGAACCGUCAUUUUCUCGAGAGGGGUUCUACAGGGGUGGGCUGUGGUUCGAGCAGUUCUAAAGAGAACGUGGCCCACUGUGAGCCGGUCAGCAGGAGCAGCAUCGCGGAGGCCCUCCAGAGCCAGGAUAUCGACAACCUCCUCCCUGUAUGAUGGGUAAAACAGUCCUGCAUGAAACAAGACUUCUUGAAAAUGAGGAACAUAAAUAUGAAUUGGAUUCAGUUUCAUCAAGUAACAAUUGUCAGCAUCAAAUGCAACAUCAUCUAGUGCAGUUUUAUCGCUUCUUUACUUGCAGUUGAAGUACAGUAAUUUAAGUAAGAGUUUCCCAUGAUUGAGAGGCUUAGAUACAGCUCAGUUGGUAGAGCAUAGUGUAUGCCACGCCAGGAUAGUGGGUUUGAUUCCCGGGACCACCCAUACGUAAAAUGUAUGACUAACUCGCUUUGGGUAAAAGUGUCUGCUAAAUAUAUAUAGAAGGUCAUGGUAUUGGCACCUGUAACUUUAAUGUUCAGCAACAGCCUCAACCCAUGGAUGGUUAGACAGUGGUUAGACCAGACUCAAUAGAAAGAGGAUGGUGUCGUGUUGAAACUAGGCAGCAGUUUCAAAUAAGUAAUUUAAAUAAAUUAAACUCAACUCAUCUGUGUGGUUCCAUUUGACCUAGAGUUGUCAGUGCUCUGUGAAGAGUUCAGUUUGAUGAUUUAAAAAAACAAACAAGUGACAUGAUGCCCAAUUUUUAAUCAAAUUCCUCUGUUUUUGGUGGUCUCGUAAAAUAGAAAUGCAAAAAAGAACUCAAAGUACUGGACUAUAAUGUAUAUUUGAAACUGUUGAACUUGAAAAAUAAAGCUAUGUUUAAAAAAAA